AACUUCGGUUAUAAGAUCCCUCAAAGAUGAUGAGGUUAAUAGGUUCGGGGUGUAAGCGCAGUAAUGUGUGUAGCUGACGAAUACUAAUCGAUCGAAGACUUAAUCAAAAUU
rnacentral:rRNA from 1 species